GACGAACGCUGGCGGCGUGCUUAACACAUGCAAGUCGAACGGAAAGGCCCUGCUUUUGUGGUGUGCUCGAGUGGCGAACGGGUGAGUAACACGUGAGUAACCUGCCCUUGACUUUCGGAUAACUUCAGGAAACUGGGGCUAAUACCGGAUAGGAGCUCCUGCUGCAUGGUGGGGGUUGGAAAGUCUCGGCGGUUGGGGAUGGACUCGCGGCUUAUGAGCUUGUUGGUGGGGUAGUGGCUUACCCAGGCUUUGACGGGUAGCCGGCCCGAGAGGGUGACCGGCGACAUGGGGCCUACGGGAGGGAGCAGAGGGGUACGGGAGGCAGCAGUGGGGAAUAUUGCACAGUGGGCGGAAGUCGGAGGCAGCAACGCCGCGUGCGGGAUGACGGCUUUCGGGUUGUAAAAAGCUUUAGCCUGUGACGCAGCGUGAGUGACGGUAAUGGGUAAAGAAGCACCGGCUAACUACGUG
rnacentral:rRNA from 1 species